rnacentral:rRNA from 1 species
AGAGUUUGAUCCUGGCUCAGGAUUAACGCUGGCGGCGUGCCUGACACAUGCAAGUCGAACGAGGUCGCAAGACCGAGUGGCGGACGGGUGAGUAACACGUGACCAACCUACCCCGAAGUCUGGGAUAGCCCUGCGAAAGCAGGAUUAAUACCGGAUGUGGCCCGGCGACAUCCGCCGGUCUAAAGAUUUAUCGCUUCGGGACGGGGUCGCGGCCUAUUAGCUUGUUGGUGGGGUAACGGCUCACCAAGGCGAUGAUGGGUAGCUGGUCUGAGAGGACGAUCAGCCACACUGGGACUGAGACACGGCCCAGACUCCUACGGGAGGCAGCAGUGGGGAAUCUUGCG